rnacentral:tRNA from 1 species
GCGGAUGUAGUUCAAUGGUAGAACCUCAGCCUUCCAAGCUGUUGACGCGAGUUCGAUUCUCGUCAUCCGCUCCA